AGAAUAGUUACUCUAGAUGCAUUAUCUCGUAGUUUACAAAGAAUUGAAAAUGUAUCUUUUUCAGAAGCCUGUUCUCUGGAAAAGAACACAAACAAGCUAAAACCUUUUAAUUUGUUCCCAGAGCUAGCACACCCACCCUAUUUGGGGAACAGGCUGAAGUUAGAAGAGCAUUCUAAACACUAAUGUCCAAAUGCAUUUUUGAUAAUAAGUGAUGAUUCAAAGCAGACCUAUCCAUUGGUAUUGAGAGAAACAGUGUCUCUUUUUAAAGGCACGUCCUGAGAUCUUGGAACCAAACCCCCAUGGAUAUCAAGAGGUGACCACAUACGAACUCAGGAGAGAUAUCAACGGUACAGAGGGUCAUUGAAGUCAUGAGUAUAACAUCUUGUCCCACUGUGUCCGGAAUUGGUGGGCUCUUAGUCUCGCUGACUUCAACAAUAAAGCUGCGGACCCUCACCGUGUUACCAGUUCUUAAAGAUGGUGUGUCCAGAGUUUGUUCCUUCUGAUGUCUGGACAUGUCUGGAGUUUCUUCUUUCUGGUGGGUUCGUGGUCUCGCUGUCUUCAGGAGUGAAGCUGCAGACCUUCCCGCUGACUGUCACAGAGCUUCCAGGCAGCACAUCUGGAGUUGUUCCUUCCUCCCAGUGGGUUCAUAGUCUCGCUGACUUCAGGAGUGAAGCUGCAGACCUUCACAGUGAGGGUUACAGCUCAUAAAGGCAAUGCGGACCCAACGAGUGAGCAGCAGCAAGACUUAUUGUGAAGAGCAAAAGAAAAAAGCUUCCACGUUGCAGAAGGUGACCAAAGCCAGUUGCUGCUGCCUGCGCUGGUGGCCUGCUUUCAUUCCCUUAUUUGGCCCCACCCACAUCCUGCUGAUUGGUCCAUUUUACAGAGUGCUGAUUGGUCCAUUUUAUAGAGUGCUGAUUGGUCUGUUUUGGCAGAGUACUGAUUGGUGCAUUUACAAACCUUUAGCUAGACACAGAGAGCACUGAUUGGUGCAUUUACAAUCCUUUAGCUAGAGAGAAAAGUUCUCCAAGUCCCCACCCAAUUAGCUAGACACAGAGCACUGAUUGAUUGGUGCAUUUACCAACCUUUAGCUAGACACAGAGUGCUGAUUGGUGCGUUUACAAUCCUUUAGCUAGACAGAAAAGUUCUCCAAGUCCCCACCCCACACAGAAGCCCAGCCAGCUUCACCUCUCACCACCAGUUAUGUGUCUCACACAGAAGGAGGUGAAAUGAGUUAGGUAAUUCACGAACUGGGGAAAGAAAAUCCUCCCAGCUCCCUGCCACAUUUCUCCCUGCAGGUUUCCCCCAGAUAGCCAAGGGACCACCAAAAAGUAGAGGUUCUGUCCUCACUAAUCCAUGCUGUUAAUUUUACAGGGAGACCUGGGAAGGUCUGUGUUUGUUCAGUAGUGACUGUAACUGGGUGUGUACAUUCAUAUAAUUUUAGGAAUCAUUGUUAGGAAAUACUGCCAACACAAAGAGCCUAUUUUUCAAUAUCACCUUCGUAAAAAUGGUCUGUGCCUGACUCUCCUCUCUCUGUCUCUCAAUAGGUUUUACAUUCAGGCAGGGAAAAAAGGCAUUAUUCACUGUGCCCUCUGAAAAUGUUUACAAGUCUAAACUUGUGUGGAGUCUGGUGUUUCCUCUGACAUGCUGAGCUCUUCCUUCUGACUUUGCUUUUUGGGUCACUUAAAUACAAAAUCCUUACUUUGCAAAUUUUGUGUUUUCUCAAAGCUCUCUCAUACUAUCUGUAUUUUCAUAAUUUUCUAUCUAAAUUGUUAAAGCAAAGUGUCCUUUCUUUGACUAUAUAAUACAUGGAAUACAACAAAAUAUAAAGAGUAUUGUUAUUUCCUUAAGGUAGCAAAAAAAGCUUAGAUUUUAAGUGUUCUUUAAAAAUUUUUGGCUUAUUCUUGUCUGUAAACACAAUGUUUUACUUCUGAUUUAAGAGCAUUGUGGAAAAUCUGUAAAUAAUAAUUAUGAGUAAAGUUGGUAUGCACUCAAGUGCAGUCCUUGACAGCCACUGCUCUCCAUACAUGACCAAACUGGAAUUAAAAAAAACUUUAGGGGUUGGGAGUUGGGACAAGUGUCUGGCCCAGGAGGCCAGUCUCAUGUUCAGACGUUUAAGGAAAGAGAACUAGCUCUAGACAUAGUCAUUAAGGAAGACACAUCUGCAUAUCCCAUUUAGUGAUAUCACUAUAAAACAAGAAAUAGACCAUUAACAUUGGUGGACAUACAUUUAGACAGCUUGAGUUCGAAUCCUGGCUCAGUCAUUUACAAAUUACAUUGCUUAAAUUCCUAACUUCUCUGUGCUUUCAUCAGUAAAAUAAAGAAAACAGUAGUAUUACUUCAGAGAGUCUUUAUGAGGAAGAUACUAACAUAGUGAUUGCUCAUUAAAUGUUAACAAUUAUUAUUAUUAUGAAAGGCAACCAGAUGGCCAACUUUUUUUCUUGCAAAUUUUUUUUUAGCCUAACAAAGUUUAGCAAUCACGGGCUUCUUAGUAUAUGGCACAUAAAAAACCCACCGGAGUGAUAGUGAAAAAACUUGCACUAGAAUCUUAGAAUGUCCUGGAGAAAGGAAUCAAGACUCUAAUCUGUUUGCAUAAUGUUUAGAAAUGUUUAAAACAUCUCUAAAGAACUAUAGUGUCCUCAGGCAUUCUCACUGGCUAGCCUCAUUACACUUACACACACACACACACACACAGUUGAGUCUAAACUGGUGAUUCUGUCUCCCUAUCAGAGUUAGUUUUCCUGAAAGCAGGAGUUGGAAUCUAUUUUUGAAAAUGACCAGAUGGUACAUAUUUUAGGUUUUGCAGGCCAUACAGUCUCUGUCGAAACUACUCAACUCUAUCAUCAC
rnacentral:lncRNA from 10 species